GUAGGUAGUAAAUUUAGGUCCACUACAACUGGGGCUUUUGUUUCAAAACUUCCUGAAAUCUCCAUUAAUCUUCACAGGAAGUCUCUGAGGUACAUGGAACUUCUCUGAACCUAAGGUUCCUCAGAUUGAUGACUUAUCUCCAUUUUUCAAAUAAGAGGCAGGCCAGCAGAGGGCCAGAAUAUAACUACUGAACAAAAUUCCAUGCAAUCAGAAGACCUACGACUAAUGAAGACAAACAUUCUUAGGGAAUAUGAGAGAAAAAAGAUGCAAAGAAGUUUCAGUUGUUAAAUGCAAAAUGGCAAAGGUUUCUUUCCAUUUGUCCAAAAUGAAAAGCAAAAACAGGAUAUAUCUUUAUACAACCAAUUUGGAAAGCAGGUUGGCAGUUUCUUUAAAUGUUAAACAUAUACUUUCCACAUAACCCAGCCGAUCCUGGAUAUAUACCCAAAAGAAACAAAAGCGUGUGUCCACACAAGGACUUAAACAUGAGUAUUCACAGCAGUCUUAGUUGUAAGAGCUGCAAAGUGGGAACAGUACAAACGUUCAGCAACAGAACAGGAUCUGUCAACACUCCUACUACUUGCGAAGAGCUGGAGAAGAGCUUUUGCCCUUACUCCCUCUCCGUGGCAGAAGUGACUUACCUGAUGGAUGAGAUUAAAAGAAUUGGCCUUUUCUCUGGCUUACCAACAUGGAGGCAGCCUAU
rnacentral:lncRNA from 1 species